rnacentral:rRNA from 1 species
AGCGAACGCUGGCGGCAGGCUUAACACAUGCAAGUCGAACGGGCAUCUUCGGAUGUCAGUGGCAGACGGGUGAGUAACACGUGGGAACGUACCCUUCGGUUCGGAAUAACUCAGGGAAACUUGAGCUAAUACCGGAUACGCCCUUUUGGGGAAAGGUUUACUGCCGAAGGAUCGGCCCGCGUCUGAUUAGCUUGUUGGUGGGGUAACGGCCUACCAAGGCGACGAUCAGUAGCUGGUCUGAGAGGAUGAUCCGCCACACUGGGACUGAGACACGGCCCAGACUCCUACGGGAGGCAGCAGUGGGGAAUAUUGGACAAUGGGCGCAAGCCUGAUCCAGCCAUGCCGCGUGAGUGAUGAAGGCCUUAGGGUUGUAAAGCUCUUUUGUCCGGGACGAUAAUGACGGUACCGGAAGAAUAAGCCCCGGCUAACUUCGUG